UACAGAGGGGGCAAGCGUUGUUCGGAAUUACUGGGCGUAAAGGGCGCGUAGGCGGCCUUCUAAGUCGAACGUGAAAUCCCCGGGCUCAACCCGGGAACUGCGUCCGAUACUGGAAGGCUUGAAUCCGGGAGAGGGAUGUGGAAUUCCAGGUGUAGCGGUGAAAUGCGUAGAUAUCUGGAGGAAUACCGGUGGCGAAGGCGGCAUCCUGGACCGGCAUUGACGCUGAACAGCGAAAGCUAGGGGAGCAAACAGGG
rnacentral:rRNA from 1 species